CUCCUUCACCUCUCCCUGCAGCUUUCUGUAUUCUGCUCUUUAGAGCCUGUGCAUUGGCCUGGAUGACGUCACUGGAGAGCCUCUGAUUCAGAGAGACGAUGACACACCAGAGACCAUCACCAGGAGGCUGAAGUCCUACGAGAUCCAGACACAACCCGUGUUGGAGUACUACAGGAGCAAAGGGAUGUUGGAGACAUUCUCAGGAACGGAAACCAACAAGAUCUGGCCUCACAUUCAGGCAUUUCUGUCCAAAAAACUCUUCCCCCAAAAUGAAACGGUUGUUGGGAAAGCCUAGAAUCCACUCUGGGAACAGAUGGAUUAGUUUACCACAAUUUAAAUGGAACUCAACUCUUUGGUCCAAACCAUAGCAGUAUCUCUGUGCCUAUAUAAGACCAUGCCACUUAGUACAACAUAUUGUAGUUGGAUGAGGAUCACUUGUUCAACCAAUGUCACAUUCUAUCUCUGUUCAUUCCAUAUGUAGCCUGAUCC
rnacentral:lncRNA from 1 species